AACAAAAACAUGUCCUUUAGAUUAGAAUUUAAGGUCUAACCUGCCCAAUGAGAGAUUUAAUGGCCGCAGUAUUUUGACUGUGCAAAGGUAGCAUAAUCAUUAGUUUUUUAAUUGAAAGCUAGAAUGAAUGGUUGGACGAGAUAUAUUCUGUCUUUAAAUUAUAUAUAGAAUUUAAUUUUUAAGUUAAAAAGCUUAAAUUUAUUUAAAAGACGAGAAGACCCUAUAGAUCUUUAUAUAAUUUUUUAAUAUAGAUUUUAAGGAUGAAUAGUUUUUAUAUAAAAUUUUAUAUUUUAUUGGGGUAAUAAAAAGAUUUAUUUAAUUCUUUUUUAUUUUAACGUAGAUAAUUGAAUUUAAUGAUCCUUUAUUAAUGAUUAUAAGAUUAAGUUACCUUAGGGAUAACAGCGUAAUUUUUUUAAAGAGUUCUUAUCGAUAAAAAAGUUUGCGACCUCGAUGUUG
rnacentral:rRNA from 1 species